UACGUAGGGUGCGAGCGUUGCCCGGAUUUAUUGGGCGUAAAGGGCGCGUAGGCGGCUACGCACGUCCGUUGUGAAAUCGCUCGGCUCAACUGGGCGGGGUCAGCGGAUACGGUGUAGCUGGAGCAAGCUAGGGGGCAAUGGAAUUCCCGGUGUAGUGGUGAAAUGCGUAGAGAUCGGAAGGAACAUCAGUGGCGAAGGCGACACUCUGGUCUGACACUGACGCUGAGGUGCGAAAGCGUGGGUAGCAAACAGG
rnacentral:rRNA from 1 species